rnacentral:hammerhead_ribozyme from 1 species
AUCCAGAUGACGAGUCCCAAAUAGGACGAAAUACGAGUCCUAGAU